UACGGAGGGUCCAAGCGUUGUCCGGAAUCACUGGGCGUAAAGGGUGUGCAGGUGGGGCAGCAAGUCAGAGGUGAAAGCCCGCGGCUUAACCGCGGAAGUGCCUUUGAAACUGCUGCUCUUGAGUCCCGGAGAGGUUGCCGGAAUUCGUGGUGUAGCGGUGAAAUGCGUAGAUAUCACGAGGAACACCAGAGGCGAAAGCGGGCAACUGGACGGGUACUGACACUGAGGAACGAAAGCGUGGGGAGCAAACAGG
rnacentral:rRNA from 1 species